rnacentral:rRNA from 1 species
UGUACUACUUUACUUCGAUAGGAUUUUAAUUUAAAACUAAAUUAUAUAUGGUAGUUAUUCGUGAGAUAAACCCAGUUAAAAAUAUUAAACAAUAAUAGAAAUAUUAAUUUAAUUAGUGUUUAAGUAAUGUGGCAAAUUAGGUGCCAGCAGCCGCGGUCACACCUGACCAUGAAAAUUAAAACAACUAGGUUAAACUUUAACAAAGAACAAUAAUUAUUCAAGUGAAAUAGAUAAUAAUUGGAAUUUUAAUUUGUUAAUAAUUAGUUAAAACUCGAUAUAUAAACUAGGAUUAGAUACCCUACUAUAAAGAGUAAAAAAUAUUUCCUAAGCACUAAGACUAAAAAGUUAAAACUUAAAAGGUAUGGCGGCAGCUUUAAAUUUUAGGGGAACUUACCAGAUAAUUGACAACCCUCAAUAAACAGAACUUAAUUUUAUAGCUUGUAUACCGCCGUCUUUAGAAUGUAUUUAAGAUAUUUUCAACACCCUAAAUAAGGUAGAAGACAGGCCAUGGUGCAGCCAAUAAUUAAGACUUAAGGUGAGUUACAAUAAAAAAUCUUUUUCGGAAUUUAAUUGAAAAUUUAAAGGAAGAUGGACCUAAAAGUAAAAUUUAAAGAAGUAUUAUUUGAAUAUUUUAAAAAGCUGUGCACAAAUCGCCCGUCACUCUCGUUGAAAAAGGAGAUAAGUCGUAACAUAGUAGAGGUAACGGAAGUUGUCUCU